GAUGAACGCUGACAGAAUGCUUAACACAUGCAAGUCAACUUGAACUUCGGUUUGGGUGGCGGACGGGUGAGUAACGCGUAAAGAACUUGCCUCACAGAUAGGGACAACAUUUGGAAACGAAUGCUAAUACCUGAUAUUAUGAUUAUAUGGCAUCGUAUAAUUAUGAAAGCUAUAUGCGCUGUGAGAGAGCUUUGCGUCCCAUUAGCUAGUUGGAGAGGUAACGGCUCACCAAGGCGAUGAUGGGUAGCCGGCCUGAGAGGGUGAUCGGCCACAAGGGGACUGAGACACGGCCCUUACUCCUACGGGAGGCAGCAGUGGGGAAUAUGGGACAAUGGACCAAGAGUCUGAUCCAGCAAUUCUGUGUGGACGAUGAAGUUUUUCGGAAUGUAAAGUGCUUUCAGUUGGGAAGAAAAAAAUGACGGUACCAACAGAAGAAGUGACGGCUAAAUACGUG
rnacentral:rRNA from 1 species